rnacentral:rRNA from 1 species
UACGUAGGGACCAAGCGUUGUUCGGAUUUACUGGGCGUAAAGGGCGCGUAGGCGGCAAUUCAAGUCAUCUGUGAAAUCUCCGGGCUUAACCCGGAACGGUCAGGUGAUACUGUUUUGCUAGAGUGCGGAAGGGGCAAUCGGAAUUCUCAGUGUAGCGGUGAAAUGCGUAGAUAUCGAGAGGAACACCAGAGGUGAAGACGGGUUGCUGGGCCGACACUGACGCUGACAGCGCGAAAGCCAGGGGAGCAAACGGG